GAGGGGUCACCGGGUCAGCUCUGCCUGUGCCCCUGCCCCCACCCGGAGCCUGGCCCAUCUGGAGGGGGUGACACAGGCCGGAGCUGCACCCCAACAAGGCCAGGCCUGUCCAGGAGCCCUACCCACCCCUGGCCAGCCGGCCCAUGCCUCUCGGGGCUCUGCCUGGCGGGGAGCGGAGGGGCAGGAGGCCCAGGAUCCCUACGGUCUGGACGCAGCCCCCCACCGUCCUUGUCCUGAAGCCAGACCCGCGGAAGGGGUGACCGCAGAGCGGCGAGACUGCCCGGAGGGCUGGACUCCUUUCCCAGCAGACAGGACUUGUGGACGAGCGGUGACACACACCCACCCCCCAGGUCCUGGCAGCUCUGGAAUGACCGGGGCGCUGGAACCACCUCCCCUGGGAUGACCCCUGGCCUCUAGGAAAGGAAGCGGGUCAGGAGCGGUCCCUGGGGGGCCUGGCUGGCCUGUCGCCAAGAGCCCCUCCCAGCCUCCCUGUCCUCAGUGGGGUGGGGGGAGCUGGGCAGGCGGGUACUCACGCUGACAGGCAGCUGAGAAGAGGCAAUCAUAGAACAUGGUGCCCGCCCGCCCCGCCCCCUCCGUCCGUCUGUCCAGGGGUGCCUGCCUGGCCCUCCUCCUCCCUGCCUGCCUCUGUCGGAACAGCAGGGUGCGCGGGCGGCUUUAUACCCACAACCUUGGGGAGCUAAUCCCCCCGGUGCGUGCGGAGCGGCCACCUGCCCUCUGGGAAUAAACACUCCAGUCGAGAGCGAGCGGGGCCUUCACGAGGCCGGGCAGUGCCGCGCCGCCCGCGGGUGAGGAGGGAGGCCGGUGCCCGGCGAUGCUAUCAGGCGGGCACAGGUCAAGUUUCACGUACAUCUCCCUGCGUGAUUAACACAGUGUCCCCAGGAGGCACUGGCCGGGAGACCCAGGCCCUCGACCCCACUCCCUCCGCGUGGCCUGGCCUGACCCCAGCGGCUCCAGGCGGGGCUGGGGGAGGACAUGUGCCUGGCUCCCUGCGGGGGGGGGGGUCAGAGGGGUUAUCCAGCCCCGGCAGGACUGACGCGCCGUGGGUAAGGAGUGACAGAGUGACAGAGUAACAGGCUAGGCUCUUUCUGAGCAGCUGGAGACAGUGAGAGCUUUUAUUACCUGUUUUCAGGUCAUGAAACAGAGACCGGGAGAGAGGAAGUGACUUGCCCAAGGUCACCCAGCCGGGAACUGGCAGGCCAGGACGCAGGCCGCCACCUGGACCCACUGGUCUCGAAUGGGCUGGGCCCCAAGGGCACUGUUGUACGGACUCAAGCAUGAGGGCACAGGAAGAAAAGCAAGCUGGGGGUCUCUGGGGACACCCCAAGAUCCAGAGCACGUGUGGGGAGACACAGGGGCGGGGCCUGGCCAGGGCAGGAGGGCUGUCUGGGGUAGGUGCAAGGACCUCGAGGCCAUGUCAGGGGCAGAGCACGGGGUGUGUGUUGGGGUCAGAGGCUGCCAGAUGUGGGAGGUGCCGGGGGAAGUCUCCCUGCCCCCACGUGUCGGGCUGUGGCACUGGCAUUCGGACACUCCCGGGCCUGCUCCGCCAGCCUCCCGUGCAGCCGGUUCUGGCAGGCUCCAUCCCUAUAUUUUGCCAGAAUCUUCCCUCACAUCCGCUCUAGGGUUCCCUGAUCCGGGAGAGAGGAGGCCCUCACUGAGACGGCCCCUCUGGGAGAAACCCGAGACAGGCCUGAGUCACGUGAGGGCCCUGCACACCUGGGCGUCAGCGGGCGCAGGGAGCCAGGCCCAGUCCGAGGGAUGGUGCCUGGCCCAGCAAGCCCGUGGGGGGCUCUGCCUGGCGCCAGUGAGUGGGGGGCUGGCUGGUCCUUGAGUGGGACCCUCAGCAGCCGAGCCUGGGACCCCCACGCCCGCCAGGCCAGGAGGGCACAAGAGGACACACCAGGAAGACGAGAGGCCGGGGAGGCCCCUGUUGUCUCAGGCUCAGGUCCGGAAGUGGCGGCUGAUUUCCUGUUGCUCAAUCUGAUGAACGAACGUCUCCGGGCCCCGCACUUCCCCAUCUAGACCUGCUUAUGCCUCGGGAUCGGCUACCCGGGGAAGACGGAGGGAGCUGAGAGGCUGGGCUCCGAGCCGGGCCAGGCCGGGCCCUGGCAUCCCCUGCCCCUCUUCCCCAGGGACAGACACGGCCACCUGGCCUUGGCCCUCCGCCUCCCAGGGACGGUUUUACUCAGGGGCUCUCAGAAGGGCCUCUGGGGCCCUGCUGCCCAGGCACCUGUGUCCCUUGUCUGCUCAGACCUCAGUUUCCCCAUCUGCACUAGGGGAUGCUGACAAACACCCUCCACUUUCCUGUCCUGGACGCAAGUCUUCGUGGACCCCCACGAAGCCCAAGUGGGAGGCAGCAGGAGGAGAGGCUGGAUGAUGUCCUCCGUCAGGCUGGCCCGUGUCCCCCUCAGGCCAACUCGGUUUCCUCCUCCUGGGGGCGGCUGCCAGGGCCCGCUGCGCCCUCCUCCCACCUGGGCUUCGGGCAGGAGUCUGACGGCCUGAGGAUGUGCCUCUCCGGACCUAGCGCGCUCCUGACCAGGGAAACCUGAGAUUCCCUCCCACCACCUCCAAAGUCACGGCAGGGCAGGGCAGGGUGCGCCAGGACAGGGCAGGGCGCUGCCUGCCGGGCUGCUCUCCGUGGCCUCCAGCCCCAGGCUCCAGGUCCCGGCCCAGCGCCUGCCCUCCCUCCCUCCCUCUGCCUGCUGACUCCCGCGUCCCUGGUCAUCUCCGAUUGCUCCUGGCUCUGGAGGCAUCCCAGGUGGCUUGAGGCAGCCUUCACUGGUGUCAGUUACCCCCCUCCCCCCGGGACCGGCUCACGUGGCCCCGGCCGCCCUUAGAUGACAAGGGACACCUUCCUGGGAGGGUCACGGGGAAAGGCCAGGAAAUCACUGCAGUCGGGGGCGGACCGCAGGGCUCAAGCCAACCUCCUCUCCCCCGGAACAAAUUAAGGAAGCACUGCCCGCUGGCCCUUCUGGGUACAGACUUGCUCCUGCCGGUAGCAGGGAAAUGAAAUUCCCUGGGACCGCUGUGACAGAUGAGUAAACCACCGCCCGACCCAACAAGUCCUCGUCAGUUGCCACAGAUUUUGAUGACUCUCUAUGGCCUGAUGGUCCCCAAGCCUGCCGGGACCUGCCCCUUCCACGCCUCUCAGCACGCCCUGAUGUCUGGCCACAUCCUUCUCCACUUCAGGAGGGACCAGGGCCAGCUUCGAGCACCUUAAAAACCGAGCUGAUCCAGCCUGACACCCGGGCCUUGCUGAGUCCCCAUGGGAGCCCCGGGGCAGGCAGGACGCGGACCCGGCCCUAGGGCAGCCCCAGGCAGCGCUGCUACAUUGCCCAGUCCUGUGUGCCUCGGCGCAUGUCACGAGAAAGGAAACCAAAAUAAAGAAAAAGCUACAGAAACAACCAACCACCACUAACGGCGCCCAGUCCUGGUUCUGAGCCCGGUCCCCCUGGUCCCGUGCAGGCGUCAGCCACCUGUCCCAACACUCUGCUCCCUGUCACUCAGCCUGCUGUGUCCUGGAAGGAACCAGGGCGUGGAGGAGACAAAACCCCACGGGCACCAUGACCCACGUGCCCAUUGUCGUCGUCCCCAAGGCUGCAAGGGACAGCCACAAACUUGCCCAGCCAACAGCCCCGCUUGGCCCCUGGAUCCCGCCGGCAACAACGGGGCGGCUCUUCUAGGAAGGGGGGUGACACCUCCAGGUGCCCCAGCUGACCUCCCUGAGGUGCCCGCCCUGGGCCGCCCAGCUGUGAGCGCCUCUCACACGUCCCCUGGGCAGGAGCGCCUGUGAAGGUCCCUUCACAGAUGAGGAGACCGAGGCAGGGAGGCUGGGGGGCUGGUGCGCUGGUGUCACAGGCUUUGAUCCCACUGCCCGGUCCGUCGGGGACGGACUAGGACACCGCUCUGAGGGCCGCCCGGGUGGGCAGGGGCGUGGCCACCCCAGACCCGCCAACUGCCCCCAGAGUUGCUCGGAGAGUCCCCGGCCCGCAGCGCAGGGC